rnacentral:rRNA from 1 species
GGGGAAUAUUGCACAAUGGGGGAAACCCUGAUGCAGCCAUGCCGCGUGUGUGAAGAAGGCCUUCGGGUUGUAAAGCACUUUCAGCGAGGAGGAAAGGUGGCUAGCUAAUACCUAGUUGCUGUGACGUUACUCGCAGAAGAAGCACCGGCUAACUCCGUGCCAGCAGCCGCGGUAAUACGGAGGGUGCAAGCGUUAAUCGGAAUAACUGGGCGUAAAGCGCACGCAGGCGGUUAGAUAAGUCAGAUGUGAAAGCCCCGGGCUCAACCUGGGAACUGCAUUUGAAACUGUCUGACUAGAGUCUUGUAGAGGGGGGUAGAAUUCCAGGUGUAGCGGUGAAAUGCGUAGAGAUCUGGAGGAAUACCGGUGGCGAAGGCGGCCCCCUGGACAGAGACUGACGCUCAGGUGCGAAAGCGUGGGGAGCAAAC